UACGAAGGGGGCUAGCGUUGUUCGGAAUUACUGGGCGUAAAGCGUGCGCAGGCGGCCAUUUAAGUCAGGGGUGAAAGCCUGGGGCUCAACCCCAGAACUGCCCUUGAGACUGGAUGGCUGGAGUGCGGGAGAGGUGAGUGGAAUUCCCAGUGUAGAGGUGAAAUUCGUAGAUAUUGGGAAGAACACCCGUGGCGAAGGCGGCUCACUGGCCCGUAACUGACGCUCAGGCACGAUAGGGUGGGGAGCAAACAGG
rnacentral:rRNA from 1 species